ACGUAGGCAGCAAGCGUUGUUCGGAGUUACUGGGCGUAAAGAGUGCGUAGGCGGUUUUCCAAGUUUGGUGUGAAAUCUCCCGGCUUAACCGGGAGGGUGCGCCGAAAACUGGAAGGCUAGAGUAUGGGAGAGGUAAGCGGAAUUCCCGGUGCAGCGGUGAAAUGCGUAGAUAUCGGGAGGAACACCUGUGGUGUAGACGGCUUACUGGACCAUCACUGACGCUGAGGCACGAAAGCGUGGGUAGCAAACAGGAUUAGAUACCCUGGUAGUCCACGCCCUAAACGAUGCAUACUUGGUGUGGGCCAUUCAGUUGGUCUGUGCCGGAGCUAACGCGUUAAGUAUGCCGCCUGGGGAGUACGGUCGCAAGGCUG
rnacentral:rRNA from 1 species